GGACCAGCAACGGCGCCGCCGGGAACAACCGGAACGUCUCGUUUAUCACAUUGUGAAGGUAUGGAAGCUUCUGCAAGUCGGACUCGUGAACCAGGCGAUCCUUCCCGACCACUCUGUCAAUCUCUUCUCUCGCCUUCUCCAUCUUCUCUGGGUGGUUUAAGAGAGCCGACAUCGCCCAUUCCACUGUCACUGAUGACGUGUCCGUCCCAGCAAGCAGCAUCACCUAAUAAUAGGAUUAGGUUAUUUAAACGCUAGCAAAACUAUUAUUAUAUACAAUGCAUUAUUGUCAAGUCCUCUUUCAAUAAGAUACGACCAAACUAUAACUAACUAUUCUAUUAUUUUUACUAUUUUAGUCUACUUUUAAUUAUUUAUAAUGCCUUCUUUCUUUUCUACAUUUUUUCUUCCUUAUUUUCACUUUAAGGAGGAAUAAUAUUAUCCCUAUAUUUUUGAAAGGAUAAUAUUGUCCCUCGUUGAAGUGAAAAUAAUGAAAGAAAAAAUGAUGAAUUUUUGUUUCGUAUAAAAUGUGGGAAAAAAAUAAGACAUUUAAAAACAUAAAUUUUUGUUAUCCCUUCUUUUGUCAUGAUAAAUUUAUGUAUCAAAUAAAAAUAUAAAUUUUUGUUAUCUUUCAUUUUUCAUGAUAAUUGUAUCCAUCGAAGUAAACGCACCAUAUGUGAAAAAAAAGAAUAAUCAUAAAGAAAUCACGGUUACGUUUGAAAAUCAAUAUCGAGUAUGGAUUAAUUAAGAAAAGUACUAAUAACUUACUAGUAUGGUUGACUUGAUGACUGGAUCAGUGUAGUUUUGAGGCUCCGAUUCCUGCAAAGAGAGCAAGUGGUCUAUCAUGGUGUUUCCGCCAUUGUUGCGCCUGUGCUCCUCAAUCAAGCGCUGCAGAAAUCCAUCAAUUUUGGAGGCUAUCCUGCUGAGAUUCUUCUCGAAAUCCAUGUAAUC
rnacentral:lncRNA from 1 species